UUGGCUUUCAUCGUCUUGUGAUCGGAUAUAGCUAUUACAUUACCAAUGUUAUUUCUGAUAAAAGAUUUCAUGGAGUGAAUCAAGGAAAAGUUAUCCAAGGAUUUCCUGUAACUUUGAGUACAUUUGUAUUUGUGUUAGUGUUACAGAUGGUACAGUACUGGGACGCGACGUGUUUCACUUGCGGAUUUGUGCUUGUCCGACACGAGAUUUAAAGACAGACGAACAAGCUAACUCUAAGAAGAGAAGAUUAAAACGCAAAAGAUAUUCAACUGAGACUCAGAUCGCAAAAAUACCAAAACUAGUUGACCCAGAGCCUCAUGUGUCCAACUUAAAUGAAGUUUACAACAUUAAGGUAGUUGGACGUCAGUUGUACUUGUUCAUGAUGAAGAUCAUGCAGUUUUACUCCAGCACCCACCUGAACAUUCCUGACGCUCCAUGUCAACAAAACGAAAACACGAUGGUACACCAAGAGCAGGAUGUGCUCAUGAGAAACAUGUAUUCUAAUAAUCUGAAGAAGCUCAAAGAAAAGCUGAAGAACUUGAGAGAAGAAAGCAAACAGGGGAGUGAGCA